rnacentral:rRNA from 1 species
ACGGACGCUGGCGGCGUGCUUAACACAUGCAAGUCGAACGGAAAGGCCCUGCUUUUGUGGGGUGCUCGAGUGGCGAACGGGUGAGUAACACGUGAGUAACCUGCCCUUGACUUUGGGAUAACUUCAGGAAACUGGGGCUAAUACCGGAUAGGAGCUCCUGCUGCAUGGUGGGGGUUGGAAAGUUUCGGCGGUUGGGGAUGGACUGGCGGCUAAUCAGCUUGUUGGUGGGGUAGUGGCUUACCAAGGCUUUGACGGGUAGCCGGCCUGAGAGGGUGACCGGCCACAUUGGGACUGAGAGACGGACCAGAAGCCUACGGGAGGCAGCAGUGGGGAAUAUUGCACAAUGGGCGGAAGCCUGAUGCAGCAACGCUGCGUGCGGGAUGACGGCCUUCGGGUUGUAAACCGCUUUCGACUGUGACGAAGCGUGAGUGACGGUAAUGGGUAAAGAAGCACCGGCUAACUACGUG